GUAAAUAUAGUUUAACAAAAACAUUAGAUUGUGAAUCUAAUAAUAAAAGCGCAGGCCUUUUUAUUUACC
rnacentral:tRNA from 1 species